GUGAACGAACGGCAAACCACUCGAAAGGGUGGGGCGCAAAACCGCUGACUAAAGGUUCUUGAGUGAAGGAUAUGGCAGCAGGGCUUCCGAG
rnacentral:ncRNA from 1 species